rnacentral:lncRNA from 1 species
GCCCAAUCGACUGAGUCCCGCCCCGACUCCGUUCUUAGCCACGCCCCUCCACCCUUGCUCCGCCCAGGUAGUCUUUUUCGGUCACGCCCCUUCCUCUUAGCCACGCCCCCUGGUCUGUACUCCGCCCUCCGCGGCAGACAUUUCUCUUGGCAGUUGCUGGAGUACGGGGAGAGUAAGAUCCUCAACCUGUUCCCGGGCGGUUUCGCCCCCUCGGCGCACCCUGCUUUGGUGCCGCAAUUAGAGUCAUUGGGGCGUCAAAGGCCUCGUCCUUCCGUCCAAGGAUGCUUCAUCCGCAGCUCCGGCACUGCUGGCCACCCGCACUCGGUGCUCGCGCCCUACCACCUCCAGGGACCGCGAAAGGCCCCGGGCGGUCAGUGGCAGUUUGCAACCCGCCGGGACACGUCCAGUUCUUACCCCUGGAGACCGUCUCCAACACUCCCUUCAAAUCUCACCAUGUGCAGAAGGGCGGAAGAGUCAACACGCUUAAUGCACAGACUUCUGGUUGCCAAACAUACCAAAGACACGUGCUCCGAACCCAGACGUCCCCAGUCACCCAGAAGAUAAACUUUUAAUUCUCUUCCCCUUUUUGGAACAGGAUUUUUCCUUUCUCAGCAAAUCUAUGAGACUCACAAUCCUCCUUUAAAAGCCACAUUCAAUUUCUACUUCCUCAGUCGUCUUCCCUCCCUGACCUGAAUGGCUUUGUUUAAAUAUUUGCAAAUAUUUGGUUAGGGUGAUCUGCUUCUACUUGCUACCACACCCAAAAUAUUAAGACAAAAAGAA